rnacentral:rRNA from 1 species
GACAGAGGCCUCAAGCGUUAGGCGGAAUCACUGGGCUUAAAGCGUGUGUAGGCGGAUCGUUAAGUGUCUUGUGAAAUCCCACGGCUCACCCGUGGAACGGCUGGGCAUACUGGCGAUCUUGGGCCAACUAGGGCAACUGGAACAAGCGGUGGAGCGGUGAAAUGCGUAGAUAUCAUUUGGAACGCCAACGGCGAAAGCAGGCAGCUGGGGAUGCACCGACGCUGAGACACGAAAGACCA